rnacentral:rRNA from 1 species
GAUGAACGCUGGCGGCGUGCCUAAUACAUGCAAGUCGAGCGAACGGACGAGAAGCUUGCUUCUCUGAUGUUAGCGGCGGACGGGUGAGUAACACGUGGAUAACCUACCUAUAAGACUGGGAUAACUUCGGGAAACCGGAGCUAAUGCCGGAUAAUAUUUUGAACCGCAUGGUUCAAAAGUAAAAGACGGUCUUGCUGUCACUUAUAGAUGGAUCCGCGCUGCAUUAGCUAGUUGGUAAGGUAACGGCUUACCAAGGCAACGAUGCAUAGCCGACCUGAGAGGGUGAUCGGCCACACUGGAACUGAGACACGGUCCAGACUCCUACGGGAGGCAGCAGUAGGGAAUCUUCCGCAAUGGGCGAAAGCCUGACGGAGCAACGCCGCGUGAGUGAUGAAGGUCUUCGGAUCGUAAAACUCUGUUAUUAGGGAAGAACAUAUGUGUAAGUAACUGUGCACAUCUUGACGGAACCUAAUCAGAAAGCCACGGCUAACUACGUG